GAUGAACGCUGGCGGCGUGCCUAAUACAUGCAAGUCGAGCGAACGGACGAGAAGCUUGCUUCUCUGAUGUUAGCGGCGGACGGGUGAGUAACACGUGGAUAACCUACCUAUAAGACUGGGAUAACUUCGGGAAACCGGAGCUAAUACCGGAUAAUAUUUUGAACCGCAUGGUUCAAAAGUGAAAGACGGUCUUGCUGUCACUUAUAGAUAGAUCCGCGCUGCAUUAGCUAGUUGGUAAGGUAACGGCUUACCAAGGCAACGAUGCAUAGCCGACCUGAGAGGGUGAUCGGCCACACUGGAACUGGGACACGGUCCAGACUCCUACGGGAGGCAGCAGUAGGGAAUCUUCCGCAAUGGGCGAAAGCCUGACGGAGCAACGCCGCGUGAGUGAUGAAGGUCUUCGGAUCGUAAAACUCUGUUAUUAGGGAAGACCAUAUGUGUAAGUAACUGUGCACAUCUUGACGGUACCUAAUCAGAAAGCCACGGCUAACUACGUG
rnacentral:rRNA from 1 species